GAUCAUGGCUCAGAUUGAACGCUGGCGGCAUGCCUUACACAUGCAAGUCGAACGGCAGCACGGGUGCUUGCACCUGGUGGCGAGUGGCGAACGGGUGAGUAAUAUAUCGGAACAUACCCUAGAGUGGGGGAUAACGUAGCGAAAGUUACGCUAAUACCGCAUACGAACUAAGGUUGAAAGUGGGGGAUCGCAAGACCUCAUGCUCAUGGAGUGGCCGAUAUCUGAUUAGCUAGUUGGUGAGGUAAAGGCUCACCAAGGCGACGAUCAGUAGCUGGUUUGAGAGAACGACCAGCCACACUGGAACUGAGACACGGUCCAGACUCCUACGGGAGGCAGCAGGUGGGGUAAUUUUGGACAAUGGGGGCAACCCUGAUCCAGCAAUGCCGCGUGAGUGAAGAAGGCCCUCGGGUUGUAAAGCUCUUUUGUCAGGGAAGAAACGGUCUAUUCUAAUACAGUGGGCUAAUGACGGUACCUGAAGAAUAAGCACCGGCUAACUACGUG
rnacentral:rRNA from 1 species